UUAAGCGACUAAGCGUACACGGUGGAUGCCCUGGCAGUCAGAGGCGAUGAAGGACGUGCUAAUCUGCGAUAAGCGUCGGUAAGGUGAUAUGAACCGUUAUAACCGGCGAUUUCCGAAUGGGGAAACCCAGUGUGAUUCGUCACACUAUCAUUAACUGAAUCCAUAGGUUAAUGAGGCGAACCGGGGGAACUGAAACAUCUAAGUACCCCGAGGAAAAGAAAUCAACCGAGAUUCCCCCAGUAGCGGCGAGCGAACGGGGAGGAGCCCAGAGCCUGAAUCAGUGUGAGUGUUAGUGGAAGCGUCUGGAAAGGCGCGCGAUACAGGGUGACAGCCCCGUACACAAAGAUGCACAUGCUGUGAGCUCGAUGAGUAGGGCGGGACACGUGGUAUCCUGUCUGAAUAUGGGGGGACCAUCCUCCAAGGCUAAAUACUCCUGACUGACCGAUAGUGAACCAGUACCGUGAGGGAAAGGCGAAAAGAACCCCGGCGAGGGGAGUGAAAAAGAACCUGAAACCGUGUACGUACAAGCAGUGGGAGCACAGAGCAAUCUGUGUGACUGCGUACCUUUUGUAUAAUGGGUCAGCGACUUAUAUUCUGUAGCAAGGUUAACCGAAUAGGGGAGCCGAAGGGAAACCGAGUCUUAACCGGGCGUUAAGUUGCAGGGUAUAGACCCGAAACCCGGUGAUCUAGCCAUGGGCAGGUUGAAGGUUGGGUAACACUAACUGGAGGACCGAACCGACUAAUGUUGAAAAAUUAGCGGAUGACUUGUGGCUGGGGGUGAAAGGCCAAUCAAACCGGGAGAUAGCUGGUUCUCCCCGAAAGCUAUUUAGGUAGCGCCUCGUGAAUUCAUCUCCGGGGGUAGAGCACUGUUUCGGCAAGGGGGUCAUCCCGACUUACCAACCCGAUGCAAACUGCGAAUACCGGAGAAUGUUAUCACGGGAGACACACGGCGGGUGCUAACGUCCGUCGUGAAGAGGGAAACAACCCAGACCGCCAGCUAAGGUCCCAAAGUCAUGGUAAGUGGGAAACGAUGUGGGAAGGCCCAGACAGCCAGGAUGUUGGCUUAGAAGCAGCCAUCAUUUAAAGAAAGCGUAAUAGCUCACUGGUCGAGUCGGCCUGCGCGGAAGAUGUAACGGGGCUAAACCAUGCACCGAAGCUGCGGCAGCGACACUGUGUGUUGUUGGGUAGGGGAGCGUUCUGUAAGCCUGUGAAGGUGUGCUGUGAGGCAUGCUGGAGGUAUCAGAAGUGCGAAUGCUGACAUAAGUAACGAUAAAGCGGGUGAAAAGCCCGCUCGCCGGAAGACCAUGGGUUCCUGUCCAACGUUAAUCGGGGCAGGGUGAGUCGACCCCUAAGGCGAGGCCGAAAGGCGUAGUCGAUGGGAAACAGGUUAAUAUUCCUGUACUUGGUGUUACUGCGAAGGGGGGACGGAGAAGGCUAUGUUGGCCGGGCGACGGUUGUCCCGGUUUAAGCGUGUAGGCUGGUUUUCCAGGCAAAUCCGGAAAAUCAAGGCUGAGGCGUGAUGACGAGGCACUACGGUGCUGAAGCAACAAAUGCCCUGCUUCCAGGAAAAGCCUCUAAGCAUCAGGUAACAUCAAAUCGUACCCCAAACCGACACAGGUGGUCAGGUAGAGAAUACCAAGGCGCUUGAGAGAACUCGGGUGAAGGAACUAGGCAAAAUGGUGCCGUAACUUCGGGAGAAGGCACGCUGAUAUGUAGGUGAAGUCCCUCGCGGAUGGAGCUGAAAUCAGUCGAAGAUACCAGCUGGCUGCAACUGUUUAUUAAAAACACAGCACUGUGCAAACACGAAAGUGGACGUAUACGGUGUGACGCCUGCCCGGUGCCGGAAGGUUAAUUGAUGGGGUCAGCGCAAGCGAAGCUCUUGAUCGAAGCCCCGGUAAACGGCGGCCGUAACUAUAACGGUCCUAAGGUAGCGAAAUUCCUUGUCGGGUAAGUUCCGACCUGCACGAAUGGCGUAAUGAUGGCCAGGCUGUCUCCACCCGAGACUCAGUGAAAUUGAACUCGCUGUGAAGAUGCAGUGUACCCGCGGCAAGACGGAAAGACCCCGUGAACCUUUACUAUAGCUUGACACUGAACAUUGAGCCUUGAUGUGUAGGAUAGGUGGGAGGCUUUGAAGUGUGGACGCCAGUCUGCAUGGAGCCGACCUUGAAAUACCACCCUUUAAUGUUUGAUGUUCUAACGUGGACCCGUGAUCCGGGUUGCGGACAGUGUCUGGUGGGUAGUUUGACUGGGGCGGUCUCCUCCUAAAGAGUAACGGAGGAGCACGAAGGUUGGCUAAUCCUGGUCGGACAUCAGGAGGUUAGUGCAAUGGCAUAAGCCAGCUUGACUGCGAGCGUGACGGCGCGAGCAGGUGCGAAAGCAGGUCAUAGUGAUCCGGUGGUUCUGAAUGGAAGGGCCAUCGCUCAACGGAUAAAAGGUACUCCGGGGAUAACAGGCUGAUACCGCCCAAGAGUUCAUAUCGACGGCGGUGUUUGGCACCUCGAUGUCGGCUCAUCACAUCCUGGGGCUGAAGUAGGUCCCAAGGGUAUGGCUGUUCGCCAUUUAAAGUGGUACGCGAGCUGGGUUUAGAACGUCGUGAGACAGUUCGGUCCCUAUCUGCCGUGGGCGCUGGAGAACUGAGGGGGGCUGCUCCUAGUACGAGAGGACCGGAGUGGACGCAUCACUGGUGUUCGGGUUGUCAUGCCAAUGGCACUGCCCGGUAGCUAAAUGCGGAAGAGAUAAGUGCUGAAAGCAUCUAAGCACGAAACUUGCCCCGAGAUGAGUUCUCCCUGACCCUUUAAGGGUCCUGAAGGAACGUUGAAGACGACGACGUUGAUAGGCCGGGUGUGUAAGCGCAGCGAUGCGUUGAGCUAACCGGUACUAAUGAACCGUGAGGCUUAACCUU
rnacentral:rRNA from 1 species